rnacentral:tRNA from 1 species
GGAGGUGUGGCCCAGUUGGAUGGGGCAGCCGACUACGGAUCGGAAGGACGGGGGUUCGAAUCCCUCCAUCUCCAC